rnacentral:lncRNA from 1 species
GACUGUUACUGCCUAGUGAUCCCCUCAAGUAGAAUCUUGGACCUUUAGAGUGAGACCUUCACAACCUUCUGGAGAUCCUGGUCUCGUUCAGACGAGAGACACCAGGGCUCGGGAGAGGCUCACAAACUUCCAUAGGAUAGACAGAAUGAAAACAGUAGAGGCGAUGGAGUCUAAUCAGGAUGUGUACAAUAAUGAUCUCACAGCACGCUCUUAGAGAAGCUUCAAGGAAAGGAUCUGGUUCUGGCCACGUGGAACCACAGAGGAGACAGCCAUGUUCAAAGACAGAAAUUUCUGCCUAUGAUGGUGGCUACUGAGUAGCUGUGGCAUUACAGAGCGACUUUGAGAUGGAAGGUCACUUCAUGAUGCGAAGCUGGAAAGAAAGAUAACGACCUGAGUGUAAACUCUAAUCUUACAAUAAUAACACCGAACAUCCAUAUAGUGUUU